rnacentral:rRNA from 1 species
UCCUACGGGAGGCAGCAGUGAGGAAUAUUGGUCAAUGGACGAGAGUCUGAACCAGCCAAGUAGCGUGCAGGAAGACGGCCCUAUGGGUUGUAAACUGCUUUUAUAAGGGAAUAAAAGUGAGUCUCGUGAGACUUUUUGCAUGUACCUUAUGAAUAAGGACCGGCUAAUUCCGUGC